rnacentral:rRNA from 1 species
GAUAGUACCUUACUACUUGGAUAACCGUGGUAAUUCUAGAGCUAAUACAUGCUAAAAACCCCGACUUCGGGAGGGGUGUAUUUAUUAGAUAAAAAACCAAUGCCCUUCGGGGCUCUUUGGUGAUUCAUGAUAACUUAACGGAUCGCAUGGCCUUGCGCCGGCGACGGUUCAUUCAAAUUUCUGCCCUAUCAACUUUCGAUGGUAAGGUAUUGGCUUACCAUGGUUUCAACGGGUAACGGGGAAUUAGGGUUCGAUUCCGGAGAGGGAGCCUGAGAAACGGCUACCACAUCCAAGGAAGGCAGCAGGCGCGCAAAUUACCCAAUCCCGACACGGGGAGGUAGUGACAAUAAAUACUGAUACAGGGCUCUUUUGGGUCUUGUAAUCGGAAUGAGUACAAUUUAAACCCCUUAACGAGGAACAAUUGGAGGGCAAGUCUGGUGCCAGCAGCCGCGGUAAUUCCAGCUCCAAUAGCGUAUAUUAAAGUUGUUGCAGUUAAAAAGCUCGUAGUUGAACCUUGGGCCUGGCUGGCCGGUCCGCCUCACCGCGUGUACUGGUCCGGCCGGGCCUUUCCUUCUGGAGAACCCCAUGCCCUUCACUGGGCGUGUGGGGGAACCAGGACUUUUACUUUGAAAAAAUUAGAGUGUUCAAAGCAGGCCUUUGCUCGAAUACGUUAGCAUGGAAUAAUAGAAUAGGACGUGCGAUCCUAUUUUGUUGGUUUCUAGGACCGCCGUAAUGAUUAAUAGGGACAGUCGGGGGCAUCAGUAUUCAAUUGUCAGAGGUGAAAUUCUUGGAUUUAUUGAAGACUAACUACUGCGAAAGCAUUUGCCAAGGAUGUUUUCAUUAAUCAGUGAACGAAAGUUAGGGGAUCGAAGACGAUCAGAUACCGUCGUAGUCUUAACCGUAAACUAUGCCGACUAGGGAUCGGGCGAUGUUCUCUCUUGACUCGCUC